UACGUAGGGUGCAAGCGUUGUCCGGAAUUAUUGGGCGUAAAGAGCUCGUAGGCGGUUUGUCGCGUCGGCUGUGAAAACCCGGAGCUCAACUCCGGGCCUGCAGUCGAUACGGGCGGACUCGAGUUCGGCAGGGGAGACUGGAAUUCCUGGUGUAGCGGUGAAAUGCGCAGAUAUCAGGAGGAACACCGGUGGCGAAGGCGGGUCUCUGGGCCGAUACUGACGCUGAGGAGCGAAAGCGUGGGGAGCGAACAGG
rnacentral:rRNA from 1 species